rnacentral:rRNA from 1 species
AGGACGAACGCUGGCGGCGUGCUUAACACAUGCAAGUCGAGCGGAAAGGCCCUUCGGGGUACUCGAGCGGCGAACGGGUGAGUAACACGUGAGCAACCUGCCCUUAGCUCCGGGAUAGCUCCGGGAAACCGGAAUUAAUACCGGAUACGACCACGGCCGACAUCUGCUGUGGUGGAAAGGAUUCCGGCUAAGGAUGGGCUCGCGGCCUAUCAGCUAGUUGGUGGGGUAAUGGCCCACCAAGGCGACGACGGGUAGCCGGCCUGAGAGGGCGACCGGCCACACUGGGACUGAGACACGGCCCAGACUCCUACGGGAGGCAGCAGUGGGAAUAUUGCGCAAUGGGCGAAAGCCUGACGCAGCGACGCCGCGUGGGGGAUGAAGGCCUUCGGGUUGUAAACCCUUUCAGCAGGGACGAAGCGAAAGUGACGGUACCUGCAGAAGAAGCGCCGGCUAACUACGCGCCAGCAGCCGC